GACGAACGCUGGCGGCGUGCUUAACACAUGCAAGUCGAACGAUGAAGAAGAGAAACGCGAACUUCGGUUCAAAUUUCACUUCGGAUUAGUGGCAGACGGGUGAGUAACGCGUGAGCAACCUACCUCUUACAAAGGGAUAGCCUCGGGAAACCGUGAUUAAUACCAUAUGACACAUUCAUAAGGCAUCUUAAGAAUGUUAAAGCUACGGCGGUAAGAGAUGGGCUCGCGUCCCAUUAGCUAGUUGGUGAGGUAACGGCCCACCAAGGCGACGAUGGGUAACCGGGCUGAGAGGGUGAACGGUCACAUUGGAGCUGAGACACGGUCCAGACUCCUACGGGAGGCAGCCGUGGGGGAUAUUGCACAGUGGAGUGUACUCUGAUGCAGCGACGCCGCGUGAGCGAUGAAGGAAUUCGUUUCGUAAAGCUCUGUUCUAUGGGAAGAAAAGGACUGUACCAUAGGAGAAAGCCCCGGCUAACUACGUG
rnacentral:rRNA from 1 species